UAGGUCCACCAAACUGCAUAACAUGAUGACCUGGUAUAGCAUACCCCUGCACUGUUGUAUAACCAUGACCUCCGGGAAGGGUUUGACCCAACUGUCCAUAAGGAUAAAUUGCUGUGUUGACUGUUCCAGGUACACCAUAUAUCUGAAGGUACUGCUGACCCGCAUAAGGGUUGUAGACACCCUGCGGGUAGACACACUCAGGUCCAUAUGCUGCAUAUCCAUAUGGAUGAUACAUCAAUC
rnacentral:misc_RNA from 1 species